UACAGAGGUCUCAAGCGUUGUUCGGAUUCAUUGGGCGUAAAGGGUGCGUAGGUGGCGUCGUAAGUCAGGUGUGAAAUCUCGGGGCUCAACCCCGAAACUGCACUUGAUACUGCGAUGCUCGAGUACUGGAGAGGAGAUUGGAAUUUACGGUGUAGCAGUGAAAUGCGUAGAUAUCUGGAGGAACACCGGUGGCGAAGGCGGCAUCCUGGACCAUUACUGACGCUGAUCCGCGAAAGCUAGGGGAGCAAACGGG
rnacentral:rRNA from 1 species